rnacentral:rRNA from 1 species
AGAAUCAACGCUGGCGGCGUGCCUAACACAUGCAAGUCGAACGAGAAAGUGGAGCAAUCCAUGAGUAAAGUGGCGCACGGGUGAGUAACACGUGACUAACCUACCCUUGAGUGGGGGAUAACCUAGAGAAAUCUGGGCUAAUACCGCAUAAUACCUUCGGGUCAAAGGAGCAAUUCGCUUAAGGAGGGGGUCGCGGCCGAUUAGUUAGUUGGCGGGGUAAUGGCCCACCAAGACGAUGAUCGGUAUCCGGCCUGAGAGGGCGCACGGACACACUGGAACUGAAACACGGUCCAGACUCCUACGGGAGGCAGCAGUGGGGAAUUUUGCGCAAGUGGGGGAAACCCUGACGCAGCAACGCCGCGUGGAGGAUGAAGUCCCUUGGGACGUAAACUCCUUUCGAUCGGGACGAUAAUGACGGUACCGAGAGAAGAAGCCCCGGCUAACUUCGCGCCAGCAGCCGC